GGUGAGUUGGCUGAGUGGUCUAAGGCAACGGUCUACUAAACCGUCGAGUCAGUAAUGGCUCCGUCAGUUCGAAUCUGACACUCAUCGCCA
rnacentral:tRNA from 1 species